rnacentral:rRNA from 1 species
UACGUAGGGAGCAAGCGUUGUCCGGAAUUACUGGGCGUAAAGCGUGUGUAGGCGGCUAUGUAAGUCGGAUGUGAAAGCCCCGGGCUCAACCUCGGGGAAGUGCACUCGAUACUGCGUAGCUAGAGUACCGGAGAGGUUGGUGGAAUUCUCGGUGUAGAGGUGAAAUUCGUAGAUAUCGAGAGGAACACCGGUGGCGAAGGCGGCCAACUGGACGAGUACUGACGCUGAGACACGAAAGCGUGGGGAGCAAACAGG